GACCCACUGUUCCCUUUAUGAAGACAGGGGCUCUUGUCACCGUCUCUGACGCCUCACAGAGGGGGUUAGCACAGCGUGGGCACAGUACACGGUAAGGGGGGGCUUAGGUUUGUUGCCUUUGAUCCCCUCCUUCCUAGUCCCUUUCUGAUUGUACCCAGGUGUGCAGUGGGGACUGUCUGCGGGGACAGAGAGGGAGUUGGCCACUUCUAGGCCGAAUGGGUGAAGAGUCUUUUGGGUUCUUAAUCAUUUGGUUUAAAAAACUAAAGCCACCGCCCUGCUUCCGGUAAACUCGAGCCCCGCUUCAGCACAACAGAUAACAUCUAAGGAAUAACUGGGCGGGGUGGUCAUUAACAUUUUCCAAGACCACUGACUCCCAGAGACCCCCUAGCUCCAGGACCUAAGUGACCUGUGAAGGACACCUAAACACCUGUCUGUGUUCUUGGAUGCCUGAGAAGACUCGUGCACCAGACCACUGUCCUCAGUAAAACCUCAAGGCCCCAAACGAAGAUGAGACUCACUCUUAUUUCCUUUCCGAGGGUCCCAGACACUAUGCUUCUAUCUGCACUCUCUUUAUAUCCUCAAUAAACUCACUUCUUCUCAGCUUA